UACGGAAGGCAGCAGUGGGGAAUAUUGCACAAUGGGCGAAAGCCUGAUGCAGCUAUGCCGCGUGUAUGAAGAAGGCCUUAGGGUUGUAAAGUACUUUCAUCGGGGAGGAAAAAACAAAACUAAUAAUUUUAUUUCUUGACGUUACCCGAAAAAGAAGCACCGGCUAACUCCGUGCCAGCAGCCGCGGUAAUACGGAGGGUGCUAGCGUUAAUCAGAAUUACUGGGCGUAAAGAGCACGUAGGUGGUUUUUUUAAGUCAGAUGUGAAAUCCCUGGGCUUAACCUGGAACUGCAUUUUGAAACUGAAAUACUAGAGUAUCGUAGAGGGAGGUAGAAUUCUAGGUGUAGCGGUGAAAUGCGUAGAUAUCUGGAGGAAUACCUGUGGCGAAAGCGGCCUCCUAAACGAAUACUGACACUGAGGGUGCGAAAGCUGGGGAGCAAACAGGGACUUAGAUACCCGU
rnacentral:rRNA from 1 species